rnacentral:rRNA from 1 species
CCUACGGGUGGCAGCAGUGGGGAAUAUUGCACAAUGGGGGAAACCCUGAUGCAGCGACGCCGCGUGAGUGAAGAAGUAUUUCGGUACGUAAAGCUCUAUCAGCAGGGAAGAAAAUGACGGUACCUGACCAAGAAGCCCCGGCUAACUACGUGCCAGCAGCCGCGGUAAUACGUAGGGGGCAAGCGUUAUCCGGAAUCACUGGGUGUAAAGGGAGCGUAGACGGCUGAGCAAGCCUGAAGUGAAAGGCAGGGGCCCAACCCCUGGACUGCUUUGGGAACUGUACGGCUGGAGUGCAGGAGAUGUAAGUGGAAUUCCUAGUGUAGCGGUGAAAUGCGUAGAUAUUAGGAGGAACACCAGUGGCGAAGGCGGCUUACUGGACUGUAACUGACGUUGAGGCUCGAAAGCGUGGGGAGCAAACAGGAUUAGAUACCCGUGUAGUC